UGUUUGCGUUAAGGAUUGAAGUGACAUCCUUUUUUGCUUUAUCUGCAAAAAAGAUAUAACGGAAAGCCUGUAAAAAC
rnacentral:sRNA from 1 species